UACGUAGGUUGCAAGCGUUGUCCGGAAUUAUUGGGCGUAAAGCGCGCGCAGGCGGUUUCUUAAGUCUGAUGUGAAAGCCCACGGCUCAACCGUGGAUGGUCAUUGGAAACUGGGGAACUUGAGUGCAGAAGAGAAGAGUGGAAUUUCACGUGUAGCGGUGAAAUGCGUAGAGAUGUGGAGGAACACCAGUGGCGAAGGCGACUCUUUGGUCUGUAACUGACGCUGAGGCGCGAAAGCGUGGGGAGCAAACAGG
rnacentral:rRNA from 1 species